rnacentral:rRNA from 1 species
UGCAUAAUCAAUAAGCGGAGGAAAAGAAACCAACAGGGAUUGCCUCAGUAACGGCGAGUGAAGCGGCAAGAGCUCAAAUUUGAAAGCUGGCCCCCUCGGGGUCCGCAUUGUAAUUUGCAGAGGAUGCUUCGGGAGCGGCCCCCAUCUAAGUGCCCUGGAACGGGCCGUCAUAGAGGGUGAGAAUCCCGUCUGGGAUGGGGUGCCCGCGCCCGUGUGAAGCUCCUUCGACGAGUCGAGUUGUUUGGGAAUGCAGCUCUAAAUGGGUGGUAAAUUUCAUCUAAAGCUAAAUACUGGCCGGAGACCGAUAGCGCACAAGUAGAGUGAUCGAAAGAUGAAAAGCACUUUGAAAAGAGAGUUAAACAGCACGUGAAAUUGUUGAAAGGGAAGCGCUUGCGACCAGACUCGCCUACGGGGUUCAGCCGGCAUUCGUGCCGGUGUACUUCCCCGCGGGCGGGCCAGCGUCGGUUUGGGCGGCCGGUCAAAGGCCCUCGGAAUGUAACGCCCCCCGGGGCGUCUUAUAGCCGAGGGUGCCAUGCGGCCAGCCCGGACCGAGGAACGCGCUCGGCCGGACGCUGCAUAAGGGCUAACG